GUGAAAAGCAACGCCACUAAUUUAAGCAGUGAAUGAUCCGGAUUCAAAACAAAACAAGGAUCUAAAUUCCAAGAGUAAAGCACAAAACCAAAAAGAAAUCAAGAAUGCGAAAUGAAAAUUCGUAGAAACACGAUCUCUGCAGCGUCAGCACAUGUCUUGCAACAGAUCUCUCCCAAUUAAGCCUCAAUAUCAUGAUUUGGUCCACCAUUAUUACAGGAAGUUUAAGAUUCAGAAAACCAAAACAUAGAAAGAUACACAUUAUACACACACAUUAAUGCGUGAGAACGCCUACAUCUAAACAGAUUGAGAAAGCAAAUACCAGGGAACAGAAAGCGAAAGGGACCGAGAAAUCACCAGUGACGCGCCACUCUCCAGUCGCCUCUUCAGUGGAAAUGAGCAGACCACAAUAGACGAUUUUUGGUUUUUUAUAGAGGGAGAAAUUUUAGACAAGAGAG
rnacentral:lncRNA from 1 species